rnacentral:rRNA from 1 species
GUGGGGAAUAUUGGACAAUGGGCGCAAGCCUGAUCCAGCCAUACCGCGUGGGUGAAGAAGGCCUUCGGGUUGUAAAGCCCUUUUGUUGGGAAAGAAAUCCUGUCGAUUAAUACUCGGUGGGGAUGACGGUACCCAAAGAAUAAGCACCGGCUAACUUCGUGCCAGCAGCCGCGGUAAUACGAAGGGUGCAAGCGUUACUCGGAAUUACUGGGCGUAAAGCGUGCGUAGGUGGUGGUUUAAGUCUGCUGUGAAAGCCCUGGGCUCAACCUGGGAAUUGCAGUGGAUACUGGAUCACUAGAGUGUGGUAGAGGGAUGCGGAAUUUCUGGUGUAGCAGUGAAAUGCGUAGAGAUCAGAAGGAACAUCCGUGGCGAAGGCGGCAUCCUGGGCCAACACUGACACUGAGGCACGAAAGCGUGGGGAGCAAACAGGAUUAGAUACCCGGGUAGUCC